GUGCUUGCUUAGGCAGCACAUAUACUAAAAUUGGAACAAUACAGAGACGAUUAGCAUGACUCUUGCACAAUGAUGCCAUGCAAAUUCAUGAAAUGCUAAAAACAUAG
ensembl:snRNA U6 U6 spliceosomal RNA